CCGCCCCGCAAGGCCGACGGCAACCGCCGCCGCUGGUGCAAGCCCAGCCGCCCCACACCGGGGCGGGCGCUCAUGGGACGAUG
rnacentral:ribozyme from 1 species